CUAAUACCCCAUCCGUCCGAAAAAGCUUGUCCCUCAAAUGGAUGUAUCUAGCAUCAAGUUAGUGCUACAUACAUCCAUUUGAGAAACAAGGUUGGGACAAGCUAUUUCGGACGGAUGGAGUACCUA
rfam:Triticum aestivum genome assembly, contig: Triticum_aestivum_CS42_TGACv1_scaffold_513154_6BS